rnacentral:misc_RNA from 1 species
CAAUCAAAUCAUAGAAACUAGGAAAAAAAUUUGGAACCAAAACAAGCAACUAUCCACUGAGAGUUUAAAUCUUUUGCACCAAGUAAUGAGACAGCUGAUUCAACAACCACAAAAUAUACAGAAAAUAACCAUGAGUAUAAUCACAAUAAACUUACAAUACUUUGUAAAUGAAUGGCAGAAAUAAGAAAUUUGACAGGCAAUGCAUUUAUCUUCAAAGAAAAAAAUCAUAAGGAGAAGAAAUGAGUGAAUAUUAAUGCUUAAAGAACUAGGUUGUUUUGCAUCAAGAUUUUUCUCAUCUGAAUUGGGAAGAUCUUAACUACUAUGAAAUUAACCAAUAUUCUCAACUCUGAAGAAAAAAAGGAAAAUAUAACAAAAAUGACCAUCCAUUAGACCUGAAACAGUUGAGACAUCAAAUUAGAGUCACUCCGAAUAUGUUGUUGGAAAGCCUCAGGAUUC